GUACAACAAUUAUGUGGUACAUAGUACAAAAUGACUACAAAUUUCUUAACUGAUAGAAGAGUUUGGUCAGUGAUGCAGCAGCUCUAGGGACAUUUGAGUCAGUGGUUUUGCAUCUUCAUUUUGAUUUGGUGGAAAUUAAAGCCAUAUUUGAGGUACUGAAUAAAAUAAUUACCAUCAUCAUAUCUCGAGGAGAGCUUUAAUAUAGUAAAGCUUACUCACUGGUUAUAGAAGAAAUGAAAAGCAGAAAUACCACAAGGGAGAAUUUUUGUUCUGAUGUUAUUUACUAUUUUCACUCCUGAAAUGUCUUUCUAGCACUCACUGCCAGCUUCUAUCUGCACAAACUUCACUUGUUUUAUAAAACUAAACAUAAAAAACUUUAAACUCAACAAUAUCUGGAAAUUAGAGUUGAACCAUGUGAAAUCAUUUCAGUCAUUCAUUCUGGGCAUGACCUUAGGCCAAUGAAGCUGAACUUUAAAUCAUUUUUAACUAUCUAAAAUAAUUUCUGUCUAAUAAUACACCAUAAUACCUAAUUGGGUGUCAUGGAUGAGAGGCUAGAACCACUUUAAAAUACUUUUUUCCAAUUAUGGUCAAUUAAAAUUCCAAUGUUUGAAUUGAGAACCACUAUAGUAGUAAUACAAGUCGAAAACCCUAAACUCUUGGGUACAACGAAAAUCACAAAAUUAAUUUAAUUUAGAGAACAUGUCCAUGAGCCAACUAAAGUAUACUUCAAAUAAUUUUGAACUGGUUCUAAUAAUAUUUUUUGAUAUGUUAAUUUCAUUAAAAAUAUAUUUCAGGUGGAGAAGAAUAUAGUGCCCAGAAUGGCUGGGUUGCCUGUCUUUGCAUUUGUUAUGGCAUACAUUGCUGAUAAAUUAACUACACAUUACCACUGGCCUUCUAGUUAUUUUAGAAAGAUUUUUGCAUCAAUCGGUUGCUAUGGAGCAUGUAUAUGUAUAUCUUUUACGCUUUAUAUAAAUGGCCCAAACUCAGUAACAAUGUUUAUACUGGCUACUUACUUUUAUGGCACGCUGAUCAGUAAUGCAUAUUAUAAUGCUUUGCUGGAUAUUUCACCUACAUACGUUGGCAUUACAGCUGCACUAACUUCAAUUCCGUACACGUUCAUAGAAUGUUUUCUUCUUUGGUAUGGUAAAACUUCUAUUUCAGUGAAAACAUUCGAUGAAUUGACUAAUAUUUUUGAAGGUACCAUAUUACUCAUCAUGUUUGGAAAUACCAUAUUCUGCAUGGGUACAUAUGAGAAAUAUUCAUUUGACUUAAUCGGCAAAAUUCCAUG